CAGGGGUGGAUGAGGAGAUGGGCUGUCUCCCUUGAGACAUGGCAGCUGUGAGUCGGGGUGUGGAGGACCCUGGACCUGAAGGAGGCAGGAGGGAAGAGGCCUCAGCAAGGCAGCCGGAGGCCAGGCCUCAGGGGGAGACAGCCAGAGUGGGGCUCCAGUGACAGGCAGGAACAGCAGCGUCCAACUCCAGCAACGUGGCAUUGACAACGGAAACAGAACGUCCUUGCAGUUGGUACACGGGGAACCUUUCUUUUUUUCCCCAAUAUCCCAUAAAUUGUUCUGAAAUAAAAGUGCUCUCAAAUGUAAAUAGCUAGAGCCUCUUCAGAGGGAGAUCUGGCAAUAUCGUUCACCACUUGCGAUGUACAGACCUUCACAGUUCCCUUCUAGGAAUUUCCCACAUGGAGCAGCGCUGUCCCUGCUCAUGGACGUGCCCUGGAGCUGCAUGGUCAGCACAGCAGCCACCAGCCCCGCGGGACUCUCCAGCACUUGCGAUGUGGCGAGAAGGACCAUGACUGAGGAAUUGGCAGUUCGGUUUUAUCUAGUUCAAAUUCACUGAAAUGUGCUACCACAGAACAGGGAUGUGUGUGAUGAGAAGAGGUAUCAAGGAACACUUCCUGGAGGAGGUGACCUGAGCUCAAAAUAAGAGGUCUUUGCAGAUGUGAUCAAGUUAAGGAUAUAAAAAUGGGGAGAUUAUCCUGGAUUACCUGGGUGGACCCUAAAUGAGAUCACAUGUACCCUUAAGAAAUGGAGGCAGCAGGAGAUGUAACUGCACAGAGGAGGAGAAGGCCAUGUGACCACGUCGGCAGAGACGAGUGAUGCAGCCACAAGCCAAAGACCUACCGGAGCCACCAGAAGCUGGUAGAGGCAAGGAACAGGUUCUCCCCUGGAGAUGAGAUGAGAGAUGAGAGUCUGACAGAGAACAGACAGUCAGGACUGCUGCGCAGGGCCCAUUCAAGAGCGGUUUAUGAGACAAAAUUGCUCUCUGGGUUAAAGGGGGCCGAGAAACCCCAGAGCUGCCACAGGGCGUGUCUAACAAAAGGGACUGGUAGGGCUGCGGCAGUUCCCACUUCACACGGACACCCUGGGCCGGUGGCCCUGCCUCUGAGGGACCGACAGGGCUCCCUUCCUGGGCCUUGCACCCA